rnacentral:rRNA from 1 species
UGGGGAAUUUUCCGCAAUGGGCGCAAGCCUGACGGAGCAACGCCGCGUGAGGGAGGAAGGUCUGUGGAUUGUAAACCUCUUUUCUCUGGGAAGAAGAUCUGACGGUACCAGAGGAAUCAGCAUCGGCUAACUCCGUGCCAGCAGCCGCGGUAAGACGGAGGAUGCAAGCGUUAUCCGGAAUUAUUGGGCGUAAAGCGUCCGUAGGCGGUUGUGUAAGUCAGUUGUUAAAGACUGGGGCUUAACCCUGGGAGUGCAACUGAAACUGUGCGACUAGAGUGUGGUAGGGGUAGAGGGAAUUCCUAGUGUAGCGGUGAAAUGCGUAGAUAUUAGGAAGAACACCAGUGGCGAAGGCGCUCUACUGGGCCACAACUGACGCUGAUGGACGAAAGCUAGGGGAGCGAAAGGGAUUAGAUACCCCCGUAGUCC